rnacentral:rRNA from 1 species
CACUCCUACGGGAGGCAGCAGUGGGGAAUAUUGCACAAUGGGCGCAAGCCUGAUGCAGCCAUGCCGCGUGUAUGAAGAAGGCCUUCGGGUUGUAAAGUACUUUCAGCGGGGAGGAAGGCGAUAAGGUUAAUAACCUUGUCGAUUGACGUUACCCGCAGAAGAAGCACCGGCUAACUCCGUGCCAGCAGCCGCGGUAAUACGGAGGGUGCAAGCGUUAAUCGGAAUUACUGGGCGUAAAGCGCACGCAGGCGGUCUGUCAAGUCGGAUGUGAAAUCCCCGGGCUCAACCUGGGAACUGCAUUCGAAACUGGCAGGCUAGAGUCGUGUAGAGGGGGGUAGAAUUCCAGGUGUAGCGGUGAAAUGCGUAGAGAUCUGGAGGAAUACCGGUGGCGAAGGCGGCCCCCUGGACAAAGACUGACGCUCAGGUGCGAAAGCGUGGGGAGCAAACAGGAUUAGAAACCCCGGUAGUCCC